rnacentral:rRNA from 1 species
CGGACGGGUGAGUAAUGCCUAGGAAUCUGCCUGGUAGUGGGGGACAACGUUUCGAAAGGAACGCUAAUACCGCAUACGUCCUACGGGAGAAAGCAGGGACCUUCGGGCCUUGCGCUAUCAGAUGAGCCUAGGUCGGAUUAGCUAGUUGGUGAGGUAAUGGCUCACCAAGGCGACGAUCCGUAACUGGUCUGAGAGGAUGAUCAGUNCACACUGGAACUGAGACACGGUCCAGACUCCUACGGAGGCAGCAGCC